GCUUACAGGGUAACUGACACAGCUGAAACUGCUUGGUCCCCUUUAAACAGAAGUAGUAAAAUGGGAGAGAAUGAAGCAAGUUUACCUAAUACUGCUUUGCAAGGUAAGUGCCAACAGCCUCUGAAAUGGUUGCAAUCAGAUGUGUAAGUGGUGUCCAUUACAGAUAGAGAAUGGUACAACCUACUUCCAGUCCAUUUUCAUGUGAAACUUUUCCCAGUAUUGACAGAACAUUGAUUUUUGUCCUUGCCUGUGAGAUUUUUAUUUGUAAUAAAAUUUUACCAUCUCUGGGACUUACCAGCCAAGUGUCCUUGUAAUUAAUAUUACCGCUUUUUUAAGGUAGAAAACAAGUCUCAGAGGGCAGUGUCUGGUUGGGGAGAGUGGUUUUAGAAGUCUUACUUUAUCAGAUACCUUUGUCCUUUAAAGGGACUGGCUUUAUUGACAUUGGCUUGACCAGGCUACUGUGGCUAGGCUUGUUGAUAGAAACAAAUACAAGUUGCCUCACACUUUCUACUUUUUUGAGUGAGAACGUUUCUUUAAAAAAAAAAAAGUGCAGAAGGCAUAUUUGUUGCCAUGAUUUCUAGUCGUCUACUCUCUUGUUAAUUAUUUACCACCUUUACUAGUGACAUUUUGAUCAAGGUCUUUUUAAAGAAGUCUCCUUGAUGAUGACAUUUUUAUUUCCUUAAAUAUGUUCUUCUGAAGCUUACCAGCAAGAGAAUACUCAAACCACUGUUUUCCUUUAUGUGUACGUAACCAAAAACAUAAUUAUAUCUGUGAAAUGUAAAACAUCUGAGGAUAACAAGACCAUCAUAGACAUGCUUGGUCAUAAACAUGUAUCAUCCAUUUUUAUAGAGGUAAAUAAUCUUCCAGAAUACCUGUUUUUUUUUUUUUUUUCUUCUGUAUUUUCAUUAAUCCUUUCUCUACUUACUUUGCUUAAAAAUCCCAGAAUUGUAUUUCUAUUUCUGUGUAUUUCCU
rnacentral:lncRNA from 1 species